GACGAACGCUGGCGGCGUGGAUUAGGCAUGCAAGUCGAACGGUAUCAUCCUUUCGGGGGUGAGAGAGUGGCGAACUGGUGAGUAACACGUAGGUUAUCUACCCUCAAGACGGGGACAACCCAGGGAAACUUGGGCUAAUACCGGAUGUGAGCAACUUUUAGUUGUUUGAAAGGUGGCGUAAGCUGUCGCUUGGGGAUGAGCCUGCGUCCUAUUAGUUAGUUGGUGAGGUAACGGCUCACCUAGGCAAUGAUAGGUAGGCGGCCUUAACGGGUGGUCGCCCACACUGGGAUUGAGAUACGGCCCAGACUCCUACGGGAGGCAGCAGUCGAGAAUAGUCUACAAUGGUCGGAAGACUGAUAGUGCGACGCCGCGUGAACGAUGAAUCCCUUCGGGGUGUAAAGUUCUUUUAUAUGUGAGCAGUGCUUCUUAUAUUAACAGUAUGGGGAAGAGAUAUUAGCAUAUGAAUAAGCAACGGCUAACUCCGUGCCAGCAGCCGCGGUAAGCUCG
rnacentral:rRNA from 1 species